CAAGGAAUUUUCCGCAAUGGGCGAAAGCCUGACGGAGCAACGCCGCGUGCAGGAAGACGGCCUUCGGGUUGUAAAGCCCUUUCACCGGGGAAGAUGAUGACAUUACCCGGAGAAGAAGCGCCGGCUAACUCCGUGCCAGCAGCCGCGGUAAGACGGAGGGCGCUAGCGUUGUUCGGAAUCACUGGGCGUAAAGGGCGCGUAGGCGGCUGUUUAAGUCGAGGGUGAAAGCCCGGGGCUCAACCCCGGAACGGCCUUCGAGACUGGGCAGCUCGAGACCGGAAGAGGAGGGUGGAAUACCCAGUGUAGAGGUGAAAUUCGUAGAUAUUGGGUGGAACACCAGUGGCGAAAGCGGCUCUCUGGUCCGGAUCUGACGCUGAGGCGCGAAAGCGUGGGGAGCAAACAGGAUUAGAUACCCCCGUAGUCC
rnacentral:rRNA from 1 species